rnacentral:rRNA from 1 species
GCAUAUCAAUAAGCGGAGGAAAAGAAACCAACAGGGAUUGCCUCAGUAACGGCGAGUGAAGCGGCAACAGCUCAAAUUUGAAAUCUGGCCCCCCGGGGUCCGAGUUGUAAUUUGCAGAGGAUGCUUUUGGUGCGGUGCCUUCCGAGUUCCCUGGAACGGGACGCCAUAGAGGGUGAGAGCCCCGUACGGUCGGACACCAAGCCUCUGUAAAGCUCCUUCGACGAGUCGAGUAGUUUGGGAAUGCUGCUCAAAAUGGGAGGUAUAUUUCUUCUAAAGCUAAAUACCGGCCAGAGACCGAUAGCGCACAAGUAGAGUGAUCGAAAGAUGAAAAGCACUUUGAAAAGAGGGUUAAACAGCACGUGAAAUUGUUAAAAGGGAAGCGCUUGUGACCAGACUUGCGCCCGGUGAAUCACCCAGCUCUCGCGGCUGGGGCACUUUGCCGGCUCAGGCCAGCAUCAGCUCGCCGUCGGGGACAAAAGCCUCGGGAACGUAGCUCUCUCCGGGGAGUGUUAUAGCCCGUUGCACAAUACCCUUCGGCGGGCUGAGGUACGCGCUCCGCAAGGAUGCUGGCGUAAUGGUCAUCAGCGACCCGUCUUGAAACACGGACCAAGGAGUCAACCUUAUGUGCGAGUGUUCGGGUGUCAAACCCCUACGCGUAAUGAAAGUGAACGCAGGUGAGAGCUUCGGCGCAUCAUCGACCGAUCCUGAUGUUCUCGGAUGGAUUUGAGUAAGAGCAUAUAGGGUUGGACCCGAAAGAAGGUGAACUAUGCGUGUAUAGGGUGAAGCCAGAGGAAACUCUGGUGGAGGCUCGCAGCGGUUCUGACGUGCAAAUCGAUCGUCAAAUAUGCGCAUGGGGGCGAAAGACUAAUCGAACCUUCUAGUAGCUGGUUUCCGCCGAAGU